rnacentral:rRNA from 1 species
CAAUAGCGUAUAUUAAAGUUGUUGCGGUAAAAAAGCUCGUAGUUGGAUUUCUACCGAAGAUAGCCGGUCGGGUCUUCGACCUUGUAUCUGGUUUUGUCUUUGGUAUCCUCAUAGGGAACGUUUCUGCGCUUUAUUGCGUAGUGCGGUAUCUAUGACUUUUACUUUGAGGAAAUUAGAGUGUUCACGGCAGGCAAACGCCUUGAAUAUAUUAGCAUGGAAUAAUAACAUAGGAUCUUCGUCCUAUUUUGUUGGUUUCUAGGGCUAAGAUAAUGAUUAAUAGGGAUAAUUGGGGGCAUCUGUAUCAACGCGUCAGAGGUGGAAUUCUUGGAUUGCGUUGCGACAAACUACUGCGAAAGCAUUUGCCAAGGAUGUUUUCAUUGA